GGGUGGUGACACUUGCAACUUAAGCAUGCCUUCAAUUGUGACAUUCACGUGCGUGGCGCGUCAUGCCCUUUCCUGCACAUCAGGAGCCCGUGGCUGGGCGGUUUCCAUCUGCGCCUCCCGCGGUCCGUCCCCGCUGCGGCCUGAGGAGAGGGGACCUUCAGGGUGUGGACUCUCUGGAAGGGACGUGGGGGCCUGUUGGUAACUUCCUCUCACGUUGACGACGCGCUUCCUUGAACUCAGAGGAAAGGGGCGUUUCCCCAGCACUGAACUUUAAAGACAAUUCACUUACAAAGUCCACAUUUCACGCAACGGGCCUUCCCGAGGGCCGCAGAGGGACUUCGUGUCCUUUCCGGCAGCCUGGAGUUUGUAGAGCAGUUCGACAGAAGACCUGAGCAGUCAGAGCACGGCCCCCGCGUGACCCACACGGUCUCCCCGUCACCGGAACCUUCUGUCCGUGCGGUCCCGCUGCCUCCAUGAGCGAACCACCCCUGAUUCGUUAGUGCUGACUGGAAGCCAUACCUUACCCAGGUCCCCUAGUUCCCCUGCCUUCCUGUGUCCCCGGAUCCCACGUCCCCCUCGUCACCCUCAGUCGGCCUGCCUCCCCGGGCCCCUCUGCACUGACGGUCACCCGGGGCCACGAGAUGUUCUAGCCCGCCACCACUGGCAAUAAGCAAACCCCCCUCCGUCAUACCUGACUUCAUGUUAAUGAGGUGGCCCCGGAGUCACUAGAAAGCCCCAGGAUGGGGGCUGGAGGCCUGAGGAACCAAGUGCGACCUCCAGCCCCUGACCCCGGGGAGGCGACAGUGUGGGGAUUGUGGGGAUGGAGUCAGUCCCCGAUGGCCAGUGACUCAAUCUAUCGAUCGUGCCCACGUGAUGGGGCCUCCACCCUAAGUAACGGGUUCAGAGAGUUUCCUGGUUGGUGGCCGCGUCCACGUGCCGAGAGCAUGGCAUGCCCCAAACUCCACAGGGCAGAGCUGGCUCUCUCGGGGCCUCCCGCGUCUUGCCCUCGGUGCCUAGUUAUCUGGCGGUUUGCUCGUGCCCUUCAUGAUAGCCCUUCGAGUAAACCAGUAACCACGGGAACUUGCUUCCCCGGAUCCUGUGAACUGUUCUAGCAAAUGACGGAACCCCAGCACGCGGUCGCGGGAAUCCCUGAUUUGUAUCUGGUCGGUCAGGAGUACAGGGUGGCCCGCACUUGUGCCUGGGGUGUGGAGCGGGGACGAUCACGUGGGACCCGACCCUUGACCCUGUCCAGGUUAUUAGCGUCAAGACUAAAUCGUAGGACACCCUUGGGUGGCUGCAGAGCGUUGUGGGAUUGCUUGGUGUGGAAAACCCCACACGUUUGGUGCCGGAAUUGCCCUGCGUAUGUAAAAACAUCCCGGCAGUGGGAGGUGUUGGUCUCAGACUCCCCUUGAUCCGAUGACCUGGACAAUCUUGAGGAAUACUGGUCAGGUAUUUCCAAAUUCUGCUGGAAGUUGAUGUCUUGCUCAUGAUGCUGGUGCUGUGGGUCUGGGAAGUUGUCGCAGAGAUGGUCACAUCACUUCGAGGGAGCACACGGUCGACAUGACGUGUCACUGCGGGCCUCGGUCACCAGGCUGGGGUGUGUCUGUCGGGGUUCUCCCCUGGAAAGUGACUCUUUCCGCCCCAUCCACACUGUCCCUGGAAGGAAGUCACUCUGUGCGGCCCACACCUAAGGGAUGGGCCGUCCCUUGAUUGAGGAACCUCUUUGAUGCGGAGCAUCUGCAUAAAUUACGUGGAAUUCUUCUGCGUGGAGAUUUCUCUCUCCUCCCCCAUUUGCUUACUCAGUCAUUUGAAUCUGUUUAGACCCGAGGAUAUUUAUGUUAGUGUUUGGAUCAUAAUCUGUUACUAUUUGUUUUGCUAGGAUUGUUCCAGAUUUGGCCCCCGGGCCCUGUAUCACAUAGCAUGCCCCCUUCGGCAAAGAGCUCCUUGGUUGAAGCCCCUCCUCACCCUUCCUUACUAUAGGCUCGUCCUGUGCAUUUCCCGCCCCAGCCCCGGGGUCCGCCAUUUCUCCAAGGAGCACUCGUUCCAUUGGCUGGAGAAGAGUGCUUAGAAGCCAAGAGCCAGACCCUGGGUGUGCUCACUGCUGCUGGGGUGGCAUCGCUUCUCGGCCUCUCUGCCGACAGAGACGUGCGUGUGUGCUAAUCCACAUAUGGAUAUGUCUCUGUAAAUAAUUCCAUAGUGAUCAUUUGUAUCUAAAGCAUGCUAAACACGAGGCCAUGCUGACGUUUCCACCUGCGACCUACACCCCCCGGGUCAUCCUGACUCUGCUUCUGUGUAAAUUCUCCCUGCGAUGUGAGAACUCUGACUCCCAUUUGCCCCCGGACAAGACAGACUGAUCCGGUCUGUCUACACAUACUGCGACAUGGGACUGUGCCCCUGGACUCCCGGGGACAGCAGCUUUACCACCCAGAGUACUUGGGGACAAUUUCUCCUGCUGUGAGUGUUGCAGAUCCCACCCAUUUCCCAAGUUACUUAGGCCAGCGCCUUCCCGCCCGCUCUCCUCCGCUGGGGCCAUCCCACAUGUGUGCGUCACAGUUAAAUCCUCUCGUCACAGAGUGUAGCCCUUCCUGGGAGCCCUUCAGCCUUAAACCUAAACUGUUGGCUUUUAACUAGCGUGCAUGAAGGGUCGCUCUGAGCUGUGAAGUUCUAUGGGUUUUGACCAGUGCACGAUGUCCUAUGCCCAUGGCUACAGGAUCGCCCAGAUCCUGCCUGUACUCCAAAUAUUAGUCCCCCCCUUCCCCCAAGCACCUCGCAUCCACUGACCCACUUAGUGAGCAUAGUUUUUCCUUUUCCAGAAUGUCAUACGGUUGGAAUCAGACAGUGUGCAACCCUUCGGACUGCCUUCUUUCACUUGUUGAUACGCAUGUAAGGCUUCUCGUAUUUUCAUGACUCGACAGCUCAUUCCUCUUCGUGGCUGAAUGAUAUUCCACGUUCUGUAACACGAGAUGGGCCUGCGUCCUUCCUGCCAUCUGCACGUCUUCUUUGUUUCAUCCAGAUCAAGGGAGUAUACUGGUGUCCCAGUGGUUCCACCUUGAAUCAGAGCCAUCCUCAGGAUUGGGGACCACAGCCAGGAGCAUGGAGAUGCAUGUCAAUGAGGUGCUAGGACUCGUCUGUGUCCCAGCUAAGCCUGUAGGGGCCUCAGAGGAAGCUGUUCUGAGUUAGUAGGAUCCCUGGCAAAUGAUGUGGAGGUGGAAGGCUGGGAGGGCAGCCCCACCUGACGGGAAGUGACCAGAGCUUGGAGUAGUGGCUCUCAAACUUGCCUACAUAUUGGAACUCAAGAAAAAUACUGAUGUCCAGGCUCUGUGUCAGAGACCCUCACUUAAUUGGUUUGGGGUGCCACCUAUGUUCAGAUACCUUGGAUAAAGGUCCAAGCACAGGCACUGACUACAUCUUGGGACAUUUCACCUAUAUAUGGGCCCAAAUAAUGGAAAGCAUGGAAGGAAGGAAUGUGUUGGGGCUCCUUGGGUGGUCACACCUUAGGAAGCCAAAGGGCUUCAUUCGACAUAGGACAAUGCUGCCUUCUUCACCUGUGAAGUCAUCUACUGUCAUCAGGAGAGCCUGGCAGAGCUGGUGUAGACCAUUCCAACCCUGUGAGGUCAUCGAUAGAAGUUGUAACAUGCUAAAGAGAACAAAACAAGCCUGAUGGCUCCCACUCAGCCUUAGGAACAUUUAUUCCCUUAAACUUCUCAGUGGAAAUUAAAGAAAGCCUCUGCCUGAGGGCCCUGGAUGAGAAAGGAGUCCUCGGAUGUCAUUGCUGUCAGUCUGCUUGGGUGUAAAAGAAACAUCGCCUGCAGGAAGGGGAAGCUAUGGCUGGGUUGUUUGCACAGGGCUCGACGACAGAGGCACCUGGUUUUGCCUUUUCCUGCCUGGAGUCUGUGGUCUGGCUUCCAUCCCAGAUAAAUGUCGGAGAGAACCCAGAACAAGCUCUAGAGUGUCUGAAUGCAGCCAAACAAACAGAAAUGCUACUAUGAGAUUAAGAGAAAUGAACAGAAUGUACAGGCUCGCCUGACUGAAAAGUCCAGCGGUAGUGACUUCAGACACAGCUCAGUCAAGGUACUCUGAUCUGCCAUCAAUUGGCCUCCACCUUUGCCUUCUACUCUCCUCUGCAUUGGCCACCUCCUCCCCCCAGGGUUUCUAUUCAUGGUAGCAAAUGGUUUCUGCCAUUGUCAGACUCAAGUCUUCCCAGCUUGGCAGCCCCGAGGGGAAGGGAAUGUAUAUGCUUCUCACCUUUCAAUGUCCAUUUCCCCUUCUCCCAUUGGAAUACAAUUUUGAGCAAAACCCAUAAACCUAAUUACCUAUUGACUGUCUACCUAGGCCUGCUGGAAUCUUCUGUGAGCUCCUCCAGACCUAUUUGUUAUAGCUCUCCACCCUGCUGUCUGCUCUACAUGAGCAACAGCCACAGAUUCGCCUUGCCCUCUGUAUUCUAGAAAGGUCUGGUCAGUGAGAGGCUCCGGCAGGAAACUGUGGUCACAUUAUUUAUUCCUCCAGCUCCCACAUGUCGGCACUGCCUCAAGCUGGCUGUGUUACUUGUCCAGAGUUCACACUUCCUGUCACAACAGCCCUCUCCACCUGUCUUUCCCUGUCUUGCCUCCUCCCCUCACCCUUCAGACAGGAGGGGUCAUGGUCCUUGGUUGUUACUAGUUCGGGGUACAGCACUAUCACUUGAGGGCUCCUAUAUCCCACCCACCGUUAGAAUGUGCUCUCUGAAUCCCCUCCCCCCGAAUGCUGAUAGUUGCACUGGGUGCACAAGGAAAGGCUCUGGCCGGUCACACGUGCACAGAAACAAAGUGGGAAGCCUCCCAGGCCACAGCCUGCAAGGAAGAGGUGUGCAUCCCACCACUCGUCUUGUUUGGAAAGUGGUUUCAACGAAAAGCCAUCUUGGACCCGCGGAUGAGAACAACACCCUAGGAAUGGUGGCAAGACCCAGGACUCUUGCAUGCUCCGGAUGGCAGAGCCACCAAACCAAGUCAGAUGAAGCUAUUAUUGGGGUAUUUCAGCCAUGGUGAUUCCGGGCCUCUGUCCCUGCAGCUGAACCCAUGUUCCGACCACACAGCAACCCUCUCUUUCUCAAUAGCUUCUGUCAAUGUUCCAGAAUUGUCUCUCUGGCCUCGAGCCACAUCUCCAAUCGCAAUCCAAUCGUUAUGGCCAAGGAAACGGAAUAUCCUUACUGGCCAAGCCUGGGUCCAUCCCUGGAGCUGGAGCUCUGUUACAAGUACAAGGGGGGAUUGGUGCUGGGCAAACCAAGGCAACUGUCCCUUGUAGUUGUGACCACAGCCACAUUGAGCACCUCCUACGUGCCAGGCACCUGAUACCCAUGGUCUCAUCAUUGUGCUAUUUUAUUCUUAACUCUUGUCAUUCCACGGGCCAACUGGGCUUCCUUGAGCUGUUCUUGCCUGCGUCUCCCGUCAGUUGCAGUAGAGGGUGAGGUUCAUCUGGGCUGGCCAUCCAAAAUGGCGACAGUCAAACCGGAAGCACAGCUGCGGCCUCAGACCAGUGUCCGCACACAGCCCCUUGACGUGGUUUGGGCUUCUCACAGAAAGGUGGUCCCAGUGUAGUGGUCCCACAUUUCUUACAUGGCAGUGGUUUCCAAGGAGUGGGAAGAGGAAGCCAUCCGGUCCGUUGAGGGCUAUGCCCAGAACUGCCAUGGCAUCACUUCUAACACAUGCUUUCUGACAAAGAAGCCUCAGGGCCUCCCAGUUUGAAAGCUGUUUAGAAAUACGUUCCGCCCCAAAGUCGUAGUGGCAAGUCUACACCGCAAAAGGGAAUUGUGGGAAGGGAGAUAUCGUGGCAGCUGUCUUUGGGAAAUAUGGCCUGGUGCAGUCUGCCCUCUGGCCACAAGUCUCAUCCCUCCCCCACACAAGAUAUGCUCCCCCCCUCAACCAAGACCCCAAAGUCUCAUCCCAUUACAGCAUCAGCUCAAGGUCCGGGGUCCUACUCAGUUGGGUCUGUGUGUGCAUGAGACCCCUCAAGGACAACACCUCAAAUACGGUUCUUCUUUAUGAAGACCUGUAUGAUACAAGUGAUCUGCCCCCUCACACCCAACAUGAAACGAGGGCAUGGGAUAACUGUCGCUUCACUCCUAACCAAAACGGGGCCUCACAACCCUGAAAUCCAGCCAGGUGCAUUGUACUUUGAUUCGGACAAGUUCUGUUCCCUGAAAGUGACUCUCUGUGGUUCUGGCUCUACUCUUUGAACUCUAAGCUCUAUUCCUAGAACGAUUUCCUUGUUUUCCAUAACAAAUGGCCCACAUUUUCAGCUGAGUCCUUUCCUCAGCCUGCUUUGGACCUUAGGAAGCUGAGUGCUGAAAGGCUUUUGGUUUUGAACUCUUUCCCUUGCAGCCUGCGCUGAUAUAAUUUGUUUACAAAUUGUGUGGUUUUCCUAUUUAUCAACUUAUAAUCUCUUAAGACAGGCUCUUCUCUACCUUGGGUUGAGAAUCAGGGUAUAUGGGACAUCACCCUUAACACUCUACAAAACCUUAUUUAUAGGAAAGAGUCUACAAGAGUGGCUCCCAACUGGAAGUGAUUUUGCUGUUGCCUGAAGAACAUGUGGCAAUGUCUGGAGACAUUUUUGUUUUUCACAAGCGGUGAGGAGCUGUCACAUAGUGAGUAGAGAGCUCAUAUGAUGCUAAACAUCCAAUACUGCACAGAAGAGCUCCCUACAAAAGGGAAUUAUCCAUCCCCAAAAGUCAAUAGAACCAAGGUCAAGAAACGCUGGUCUACAGAAAUUGCCCUAAAAUAUUUCUAAAUUCUCAAGUAAGCAUCUUAUAGUCACAUGCUUAUCUUCAUUUUUACCCUGAAACAUCUUGCUGUGCUCAAUUUGAUCUUUACCUUGUAGCCCCUCAUUACUUUGAGAGUCUUUUGCUGUCUUGAGAGGCUGAAAAUGAAGAAACAGCUUUAUUUUCAAAUCCAGUAAAUCCUAACAAUAGCACAUGACUACUCACUUCAUGAAACUCCUUCAAAUUUGUUGUUUAUUAUGUGAUAUUAUAAUAAUAAGCCAUCGUGAAAUAAAAGCCAACUUAAGAAGUGAACGUGGGAGUUCUUUCCCCUCCUGGAUGGAUGGUUAAGAUGCGUUCCUGGAGCUGCUGAUGCACAGAAUUUGACAAUGGAGCCAACACCAAAGAACCAAAGCUGAUGUGUGUAUCAUGUGACGAUGCUUGAGAAAUAAACUCAUUAUUGUGUACCACC